UAAGGGCGUACGGUGGAUGCCUUGGCGAUAUCAGCCGAAGAAGGACGCGGUAAGCUGCGAUAAGCUACGGAGAGGUGCAAGCAACCUGUGACCCGUAGAUUUCCGAAUGGGGGAACCCGGCAGUGGUUAUGCACUGUCACCCAUAGCUUAGACUAUGAGGAGGGCACCUGGGGAACUGAAACAUCUAAUUACCCAGAGGAACAGUAAUCAAACGAGAUUUUCUUAGUAGCGGCGAGCGAACGGGAAAGAGGCCAAACCGGAGCGGGCAACCGCACCGGGGUUGAGGACAGUCAUCAAGUGUAAAUGAGGUAGAAGAAUCGAGCUGGAAAGCUCAGCCGCAGAAGGUGAAAGCCCUGUAAUCGAAACCUUGCAUACACGGGACUGUAUCCAGAGUACCACGAGACACGUGAAACCUUGUGGGAAGCAGGGGGGACCACCCUCCAAGCCAAAAUACUGAUAUCGACCGAUAGCGCAUAGUACCGUGAGGGAAAGGUGAAAAGAACCCCUGGCGGGGAGUGAAAGAGAACCUGAAACCGUAUGUCUACAAACAGUCGAAGUCUGUAUAUAUAUCAGGACGACGGCGUGCCUAUUGAAGAAUGAACCGACGAGUUACUGUUGCUAGCGAGGUUAAGUGGAAAACAUGGAGCCGCAGCGAAAGCGAGUCUGAACAGGGCGUUCAGUUAGUAAUAGUAGACCCGAAACCGUAGUGAUCUAUCCAUGGCCAGGUUGAAGCACAGGUAAAAUUGUGUGGAGGACCGAACUCGUGAGCGUUGAAAAGCUUUGGGAUGAGUUGUGGAUAGGGGUGAAAUGCCAAUCGAACACGGAGAUAGCUGGUUCUCCCCGAAAUAGCUUUAGGGCUAGCCUCGAGGUAGAGAGUAUAGGCGGUAGAGCACUGAUCGGGCUAGGGGCCAUACCGGUUACCGAACCUAGUCAAACUACGAAUGGCUAUACUUAUACUCGGGAGUCAGACAGUGAAUGAUAAGGUCCAUUGUCAAGAGGGAAACAGCCCAGAACACCGACUAAGGUCCCCAAUGUUACACUAAGUGGCGAAGGAUGUGGAAUUUCCAAAACAACCAGGAUGUUGGCUUAGAAGCAGCCACCAUUUAAAGAGUGCGUAAUAGCUCACUGGUCGAGAGACUCUGCGCCGAAAAUGUCCGGGGCUAAAGUGUAAAACCGAAGUCGUGUCAUAUGCAGCAAUGUAUAUGGGUAGGGGAGCGUUCUCAUCGGGCUGAAGCAGUACCGUAAGGAGUUGUGGACUGAUGAGAAGUGAGAAUGUCGGUAUGAGUAGCGAAAAGAAUGGUGAGAAUCCAUUCCACCGAAAGCCUAAGGGUUCCUGAGCAACGAUCGUCGUCUCAGGGUAAGUCGGGACCUAAGCCGAGGCGGAAAAGCGUAGGCGAUGGACAACAGGUUGAAAUUCCUGUACCGGUGUGAAUCGUUUGAUCGAUGGAGUGACACAGUAAGGUAGGUCAGCACGCGAUUGGAAGAGCGUGUUUAAGCAGGUAGGUUGAGCUAUAGGCAAAUCCGUAGCUCUAAAAGCUGAGAUGUGAUGACGAGUGACUAGCAAUAGUCGCGAAGUGAUUGAUCCUACACUGUCGAGAAAAGCUUCUAGGUAGAGACACAUCGCCCGUACCAAAACCGACACAGGUAGGCGGGGAGAGAAUCCUAAGGUGCGCGGGAAAACCCUCGUUAAGGAACUCGGCAAAAUGCCUCCGUAACUUCGGGAAAAGGAGGACUCAUGUAGUGUGAAGAGCAGAAGCGCUUGGAGCAUGAAUGAGUGGCACAAGAGAGGCGCAAGCGACUGUUUACCACAAACACAGGUGCCUGCUAAAGCGAAAGCUGAUGUAUAGGUGCUGACACCUGCCCGGUGCUGGAAGGUUAAGAGGAGGGGUUAGACUUCGGUCGAAGCUCUGAAUUGAAGCCCCAGUAAACGGCGGCCGUAACUAUAACGGUCCUAAGGUAGCGAAAUUCCUUGUCGGGU
rnacentral:rRNA from 1 species